AGCAGUGGCCAGCAUUUAGAGCGAGACGGUUGGGUUGGGUUGGGCUGGGCUGGGCUAGCCAGCCUAGCCCGUCGACUUUUCGGUACCCGUCGGCCGUCGUCAACAGCACACAUGGAGACCGGCUCCUCGCUCUCUUCCUCCUCGCGUUGAACCAUUCCACCCGCCUCUCUCCCCUCCUCCGCCGGGCCGCAGCUACAAAGCCCGUACGGCUUGCGUCCUCUAGCUCCGGCUCGCCGUCUCCUCCCGCUCCCCUCAGCUGCCGCCCGCCUGCUGCAAACCCCGCACAUGGAUGCGUCCUCGGGCGACCGCUCGUCGCCGCGGAGCCGGCAGCUGCAGGGCCCGCGCCCGCCGCGGCUCGCCGUCAGCAAGGACUCGCACAAGGUCAGGAAGCCGCCCGUCGCGCCGCAGCGGCAGCAGCACCAGCACCAGCAGCCGGCCGCGCAGCUGCAGCAGCAGCAGCACCAGUACCACCAGCAGCAGCAGCAGCAGGGGCGGCAGCCGGUCAUCAUCUACGACGCCUCGCCCAAGGUGAUCCACACCAAGCCGGGGGACUUCAUGGCGCUGGUCCAGCGCCUCACCGGCCCGGGCUCCACCUCGCAGGCCCAAUUCGACGCCGCCGCCGCCGCGGCGGGGCCCUCGCACCCGGCGGCGAUGGAGUUCGAGCCGCGGGAGUUCCUCCUCUCGCCCACCGCCGCGCUGUCCCCUGCAGCGCGGCUGGCCGCCAUCGAGAGGUCCGUCCGCCCGCUGCCGCCGCACCACGCGCCGGCGGCCGUUCCUCCCUACUUCGGCGCCACCAACGACGACGGCUUCUUCCUGCCCGGUUCGGCGGACAUGGACAGCCUCUCCGCGGCCCUCGGCCCGCCCGCCGGCCGCCCCGGCAUCCUCUCGCCCGCGGCGCUCCCUCCGGCGGCCUCCACGGGGCUGUUCUCGCCGAUGCCGUUCGACCCGAGCUGCCUGUCGUGGCUGAGCGAGCUGAGCCCGUUCCUCCCCUCCGCCGGCACCCGCGCCGCCGCGGCCGGGCUGCUGGACCAGGCGCCGUUCGCCCCCAGCCCGCGCAGCAGCUUGCUGCUGUCCACGCCCACCAUGCCGUCGCCGGCCACCUUCUCCGUGCUGGAGUUCUUCAGCAGCCCCAACUUCCCGGACCUGUAAAUCUCUAGAUUAUUGACCUCACAACAAUUCAAUUCUACUGAUCGGUUCCAUUCCAUUACGACACUUCGCCGUUGCCGUCCGGACGUGCAGUGCUGUGCGUGCAAGCAACUCGAGAAAUCAUCCGUGCCUCACCGAGCAACACCCGGUUAAGUUUUACUGCAAUCUCAUCGCUUGUGGGUCAGUUGUUUUUUCUUCUAAUAACAAAUCGUAGUGUAUUAUUAGAGUUUUUUUUUCCGCGUCGUGUUUCGUCAUUCGUGCUGGCUUGUGGGUCAGUUGCGAGAGGGCAAACAAGUUGGCAUCCGCCACUGGUAGGCUGGUAGCUACUGAUUCAUUAAUUAAUUGAUUGGUUAGAGUAUGAAUUUUCCUUCUUUUAAACAAACCUUUCUCCGUUUGCAUUCGUCAAAUGUACGUGGGUAGGUAGGAGGCUGCUAAUGUUUUGUGCCUCUUUUUAUUUCUAUCGUUUUUCAUUAUUGUUACUAGUAGUAUUAGGUGAUAAUAUAUGUUACUGGCAAGCGAAGGUGGUGAUGACUGAUUGUAUGCAUAUAUUCCGUACCAUAGUUUGAUAACCCUGGACCUGGAUCCCGGGACUUGGUCUCACGUUGCG
rnacentral:misc_RNA from 1 species